rnacentral:lncRNA from 1 species
GGUGGAGUUUGGCUUCUCCCAGCACACCAAUGGCACAGGCAUCCUGAGAGCCAUCCAGCAGCUGAGCUACAAGGGCGGCAACACACGGACCGGCACUGGGCUGCGCUACGUCUCUGACAACUUCUUUGGUCCCACACAGCUCCGGCCCGGAGUCCCAAAGGUAUGGGGUGGGGAGUGGCAUUUGGGACGUCCCAGAGGUCCAUGGGGCUGAGGCUCACGGCUCUGCAGAUCUGCAUCCUCAUCACGGAUGGCAAGUCCCAGGAUGAUGCUGAGCAGCCGGCACUGAGGUUGAAGAGCCAGGGCAUCAAGGUCUUUGCUGUGGGGAUCAAGAAUGCCGACCGCCAGGAGCUGAUCCGCGUGGCCUCACUGCCUACUGACUCCUUCUUCUUCUAUGUGGGUGACUUCAAGCUGCUGGGGACACUGGUGCCACUGAUGACACGCAGGGUGUGCACAAGCUCAGGGGGCACGCUACGCACCCCUGGUAGGAGACCUUCAAAAGAGGGCAUGGGAGCUGCCUUAAUGCCUUCUCCCCACGCACCCCGGAGCUGACAGCCCCACGUCCCCCCACAGAUGGAGCAGGCCAUGCUGGUCCCUCCAACCUGGAGGUCCUGGAGCACGGCCCCGAUGUGCUGCGCAUCCGCUGGAGCCCAGCCAGCGGUCCCGUCACCGGCUAUAGGGUGCAGCGUGUCCCACUGACGGGGCUGGGGCAGCCGCUGGCAGCUGAGCGACAGGAGGUGAGCGCUGCCCUGUGCCCACUUGGGGUGCCUGGUGCCCACCGGCAUCGGGGUGACACUGCUCUCUCCCAGGUGAGUGUGGGUCCGCGGGAGACAAGCACUGUGCUGCGGGGGCUGCGUGCAGGGACGGAGUACCUGGUGACUGUCAUCGCUCAGUAUGCCAACAGCGUCAGUGAGUCGGUGUCUGCGCGGGCACGCACCCGUGAGUACAUGUGGGGAUGGGGAAUGUGGGUAGGUGCUGGCAGCACGUGGCCCUCAUUUGUCCCCUUGCUGUCCCCAGAGAGUCGUGGCGGCGUGCAGCAUUUCCACGUGGUCGAGGCUGGGCCGACCUUCCUGAGGCUGUCCUGGCAGCCCGGCCCCGAGCCACCCCAGGGCUACAUCCUCAGCUACGCCGUGCCAGGAAUGCCCCAGAGUGAGGAGAGGAGCCUGGGGGCUGGUGCACUGUCGGCCACACUCAGCAACCUGCGCCCCAACACCGAGUACGUGGUGACGCUGCGGGCACGCUAUGUGCAGCAGCCUGCAGCCACUGCCAGCCUCACUGCGCGGACACGUAAGCACCACGCAGCUGUCCCCGUGCAGGGGCAUCACCUGUGGUGGGACAAGGAGAUGGGAUGGCACAGCCUAUGGGUCCCUUUUGCAGAGGCAGGCACGGAGCAGACGCUGCGGACCAACAUCCUGAGCCCCACAUCCAUUCAGGUGCUCUGGACUGCCAUCCGUGAGGCCCGUGGCUACCGCCUGGAGUGGAAAAGAGCUACAGGUGGGCUCACUGCACCUGGUCCCAGACAUGAAUGAGGCCAGCAGCAACCCCUUU